UACGGCCAUAUCACGUUGAAACACCGGUUCCCGUACGAUCACCGAAGUUAAGCAACGUCGAGCCUGAUCUAUAUCUCGAUGAGUGACCGCUUGGGAAUACCAUGUUCUGUAA
rnacentral:rRNA from 1 species